rnacentral:rRNA from 1 species
CAGUCGCCGCGGUAAUACGUAGGUGGCAAGCGUUGUCCGGAAUUAUUGGGCGUAAAGGGCUCGCAGGCGGUUUCUUAAGUGUGAUGUGAAAGCCCCCGGCUCAACCGGGGAGGGUCAUUGGAAACUGGGAAACUUGAGUGCAGAAGAGGAGAGUGGAAUUCCACGUGUAGCGGCGAAAUGCGUAGAGAUGUGGAGGAACACCAGUGGCGAAGGCGACUCUCUGGUCUGUAACUGACGCUGAGGAGCGAAAGCGUGGGGAGCGAACAGGAUUAGAUACCCCAGUAGUCCCUGUCUCUUAUAC